rnacentral:lncRNA from 1 species
UGAUUAUGCUGAAUAUGCACAGCUGCAGUUAGCAAAGCUUAUCUCACAGCUUUUUGCUCUGGGGAAGACUUUUUGCCUUCUUCGUUCUCAGUGUCAUGUUUUUCCCCAUGGAGGUUGGGGUCCAAUCCAGGAAAUCUUUCUUUGUUACCUCUAACAGCUUGCUCAUUGAAUUUUUUUGUUUUUGUUUUUUCUAGGGAAGAAUGUAUAAAGAAAGUAAUGGACCAUUUCAUGAAAGUCUGGUAGAACUCAACUGUGAGACUAUCCAGACCUGGAGUGUAUUGGGAAGGGAAGUCUUUGUAGUUUUAUUUUCAGUGCUAUUUGCCAUUUCAUGUUCUCCUUCAAUUAUUUUGUACAUCAAUUUCAAAUUUUAUGUUUUCUAUGAACUUAUUCAUUUCAUAUACUUUAAAAUUUAUUG